CCUCUCACCGGGCCGCCCUCCCCGCCGCCCCUCACCGUGCCGGCCCGCGGCGGGGCCGCGGCCCAGGAUGCUGUCGAUGAAGUAGGAGGGCUUUUUGACUCAGACCUUGACUUCAUUCCUUUCACUACAAUUUGGUUUGGCCUGGAGCAAUACCUUUGUGAAUCUAUUCCUGUGGAAUUCUCUAUGAGAAGGUUUGGGACAACAUUUCGUGGCUAAAUCUCGAAAAAGUAAGGUUCUUGUAUGAGAGAUGACUCUGGGUAGCAUUUACAGAAAGCGGUUUUUUUAAACAAGGUGUUUUCUUGACAUUUCCUAGUUUAUUGCCCUAUUCGUAUCCUGAUCCCAAGUUAUAAAGCUCAGACUGCCACAUUCAACCUUGAUUGUGUUCAAAGGCCUAGGGACUCAUUUGUGUUGGGGAAAACAAUGAUUCUAUGCAUCCUAUGGACCAAAUGCUGUCAAUUCCAGGAAACAAGAUUUGAGCGAUCUAAUUUCCUCUGACUAAAGAAACUAUCAGAAUUUCAUAAGGAAUGUUCUGGAUGUGAAAUAGCCAGUGAUAUGCUUGUUUUAUAGUUACAAAUGUGUUACAGUUGCACAUGUGUCUGUGGUCAAAGAGAAACCCCUGCAUCUUGGAGAUCAUGCCCAGGAAUUCCAAUGGUAUCUCCCAAGAGCCAGAAGGAAUAAAUUUUAUUACUUCUGUUUUCCAUACGAACCAAAUCCAUGAUCAACAGCAGAUAAAACUUCUAUCUAGAGCUACAGGGGUGGCUUGUGUGAGAAUUUCCCCCACAUUCAACAAGCCAGUGUCAGCUGGCUCCAGGAUGGACCCACUGCUGGCCAAAGCUGAGUUCAUCAGCAAUGCUGGUAGCACCUCUGGGACAACAGAAUUAUGAAGAGGAAAAAAUCUGCACAACGGCAACUGCAAUCAGAGGGAAGAGUGAGAAUAUGUGAAGAACAGAUCUGCAGACACCCAGGUCAGUGAAGAAGAAUGCAGGAGGUUCUCCAGGUGCCAGAACAGAGAUUCCCUGCAGCCUGUGGUGAGGCAGCUGUGCCCCAGGAGCCUUUGGGGCUCCAUGGUGGAGCAGAGAUCCACCUGCAGUCCAGGAAGAACCCCUGGGGCAGGUGGAUGUACCCAAAGGAGUUUAUGACCCCGUGGGGCCAGUGCAGGAACAGGUUUGCUGGCAGAACUUGUGACCCUAUGGGGGACCCACUGAGGACCAGUCUGUUCCUGAAGGACUGCAGCCUGUGGUGGAAGAGACUCAUACUGGAGAAGGGCCGGGACAGCUGACCCCACCUGACCUAAGGGAUAUCCCAGACCAUACGAUGUCUGCUCAGCACUAAAGGCUAAGGGAAAAGGGUGUAGGGCAUUUAUUAUUAUGAAAUCUGUCUUCUAGAACAGCUGCUGCAUGGGCUGAAGCCCUACUUCCCCAAAAGUAGCUGGACAUUGUCUGCUAAUAGGAAAUAGAGAAAAAAUCUUGUGUCUUGUUUUGCUUCUGUGUCUGGCCUCUGCUUUUGCAUUAUUAAACUGUGUUUAUUUUAGCCCAUUAUUAUUUUCAUCCUAUUUUCUCCCCUCUUUAUCAAAGAGGGGAGACAGCAGCUUUGUAGGCAACUUGUGUUUAGUCAAAGCCAAUCCACAAUAAAUUUGCAUUUUUCAGAUGUCUUCAGGCUGGCUACAUUUACACUGCUGACUGAUGUUAGAGUUGUUAUUUUGGAUUUGUAUAGUGUCUUGUCAUGAGCUGAGCAACCUAUGUCAUAGUUACUGAAUAAUGCCAUUGAAAAAUGUCCUAAAAGAGUAUGAUUUAAAUACAUUUUCAUUACUUAGUGUUUAACCAACCUUGUUGCUGCUGCUUUCUUGGUUUUCUCUGGCUCCCAUACAAAGUAAAAUGUGAUAGAUUAAUCAUAAAGCUGACCUUGUCCAUGAAGUGUUUGAAAGAUGAAGGGAAGAAUAUGCAUCUAUUCAGAAGAGCUCCAGCUGCAUGAGGGGCACUGGCAUUUGCUGCGCUUGAAAUGUCUCUUGGCAUGUUGGUAAUGUAUUUUGGCAUUCUUUAAACUGCCUUAAAUAUAUAAAUAUAUGUUAAUGGAGUUUAAUAUUAGGCUUAGAAAAAUAUCCUAUCCAUAUCUACAUUGAAAAAACGUUCUGAGAUGAAAUAUGUGAUGACGUUAACAGGAAAAAUUUCUUGAGCAUGUCAAAGGAGUUGGUUUGAUAGCUUGGCACGGAUCUUUAUUGGCGUGAAGAAGGAAAAUAGCUACUCUCUUGAGAAUUAAGUGCAAAACUUGGGUGAAGCAGAAGAGUUCCUGAUGAGAGCUGCAUUGACUAUGGUGGAUGUCCUAGGUACCAGAUGAAAAGUGCUGGAAACCUUUAAUGCCAGUACACCUCUUCAGAUUGUUCAUAUUCUUAUUAACACAUUUGGUUUCUCAUUCUAUUUCUGUUUUACACAGAGGCCUGAAGAUCUGCAUGAACUCAAAGAUCAGCACCUCUCUUUCAUUUUAUGGGAUUAAAUCUGGGCUAAGUGUGUGGCAAUCCUGUAAAUACUGGGAGAAUGCAAGACUGAAUGUUGUGGUACAGCCUUAGUUGGUUUCUCUUAAGCCAAUUGAUACUUAUUAUAGCAGCUGCACGAGAGUGCAGUAACUCUUUUGUAAUGGAAUCACAGUAAGCUGGUUUCCCAUUUCAGUUAAUAACUUGUGAAAAUAAUGUAAGUGCUUUUUGCUGAUUAGGCAUACGUGACUGCUUGGAAAAUAAUGUGUGUGCAGUAGAUGGCAAUUCAGCUUCCCUUUCUGUGCUGCAUAUUCAAAAGCACAGUAAAAUAUUAGUUGAAAGAAGAAUAAGAUAAGAAUUGGAAUAUUGCUGACUAUGGAGAAGGCACUGUGCUGAGACACUGCUGUCCCUGUGCUCAUUCUGACCAACCUGCCUGGAGCAGAUGUUCCUCUGUUGUGUCCCCAUCCAAAUCUCUUGGCAGUCUCACUUUCAGAACUCUUCCUUCCCCCUCUGCAGAUCUUUGAUUUUAUGCAGACAAAUAAACUGAGAGGCUCAGUCUUCCCUUUGUGCAGUUGGUUCUUGAAGGCAAUAGAUUGUUCUUGAAGGGCUGGCAUGCAAGAGGUUCCUGUUGAAGUGACAUGAAAGUGUUGCAAGAUGCCUGGAACGACCUGAACAUUCUGCCCUGAGUGUUCUCUCAGCAACUGCAGUAGUGCACUGUCUCUCAAACCCUUUGGGUAGAAAGUGAAGAACUCUUUGGUGCACAAGCACCUCUAGCAGUGUCAUUAUGAUAAAUUAAUAUUUACUGGAUCUGCUAAAGCCACCCCUUUGGGGUCACAAUUAAAUGAGGCUCUCAUCUCUUCUAAAAAGUAAAAAAAAAAUGUAUGUCUUAACAUCACAAUGUUUCUAGACUCUGCAUUUAUGGAGCAAAAAACUGGUAGCACCUAGGGUCCCAGAAGACCAAGAAUAAGUAAAAAGGAUGCAAUAUUAAUUUGUUUUUUCCCUAGAAAGUGCUAGAUAAUAGACUAAAACCCCCCAUGUUUUAUCUCUCUUUAAGGGUUCAUAUUUUACGAUUUCUGAGGGGUGACAGUUCUCUAUCAUGUUUACAUAUUCCUAGAGUGAAAAUUACUUUUUUUUUUUUUCCAAGUUACUUUAUUUAAGGGCUGACUAUGAAUGUUGAACUAGAACUUGGAAGGCCACAUUCCUUCUUCCUUUUCUGGCCCUUGACAACAAAUCAUCACUUCCAUGUGCAUAAUUUAUUCAUAUGUGAAAUUGGGAUGGUCUCACACUUUUUGCUAUUAAAUUUUCUCUGGGAAAGCUGGGUCUGUUUAGAAUAAUGUUUAGAAUAAACACAGCUGAUGUUUACCCACUUACAAUUGUAAAAUAUGUUGUACCCAUAAAAAAUAUGCUACAUAGGGCUUUUUAAGCCCUAAAUAUAACCUCGUGUAAGUUCCAAAA